GAUGAACGCUGGCGGCGUGCCUAAUACAUGCAAGUCGAACGAAGAUCUAGCUUGCUAGAUCUUAGUGGCGAACGGGUGAGUAAUACAUAAAUAAUCUGCCCAUAUGACUGGGAUAACUAUUGGAAACGAUAGCUAAUACCGGAUAGGUUGAUUGGAGGCAUCUCUGAUUAAUUAAAGUAGGAUUUCUACACAAAUGGAUGAGUUUAUGGCGCAUUAGUUAGUUGGUGGGGUAACGGCCUACCAAGACGAUGAUGCGUAGCCGACCUGAGAGGGUGACCGGCCACACUGGGACUGAGACACGGCCCAGACUCCUACGGGAGGCAGCAGUGGGGAAUUUUCGGCAAUGGGCGCAAGCCUGACCGAGCAACGCCGCGUGAGUGAUUAAGGCCUUCGGGUUGUAAAGCUCUGUUGUAAGGGAAGAACAUUCAGGAUAGGAAAUGACCUUGAACUGACGGUACCUUACCAGAAAGCCACGGCUAACUACGUGCCAGCCGCCGCGGUAAGAC
rnacentral:rRNA from 1 species